rnacentral:rRNA from 1 species
UACGUAGGGGGCAAGCGUUGUCCGGAAUCAUUGGGCGUAAAGAGCGUGUAGGCGGCCCGAUAAGUCCGCUGUGAAAGUCCAGGGCUCAACCCUGGAAUGCCGGUGGAUACUGUCGGGCUCGAAUCCGGAAGAGGUGAGUGGAAUUCCGGGUGUAGCGGUGAAAUGCGUAGAUAUCCGGAGGAACACCGGUGGCGAAGGCGGCUUCCUGGACCGACACUGACGCUGAGGCGCGAAAGCUAGGGGAGCAAACGGG